AGCCCCGAUGUCCCGAUAAUUAUCGGGAGGGGGAAGUUUCCUAAACUUUAGAUGCAAGUUCGAUUCUUGCCGGGGCUA
rnacentral:tRNA from 1 species